GCACAUAUCCAAACACGUGCUAUAAUAGAACAACUGUUUGGUGUUCUAAAAAUGUGCUUUCGCUGCCUGGACAGAUCAGGGGGGGAUAUCCAAUUCAGUCCUGAAAAAGCUAUUAAAAUCAUAGUGGCAUGUUGCUGUCUACACAACAUGGCACAGGAGCAUGGGAUGUUGAACGACUUACUUCCAACACCACAGCCCCCAGGUGAAAUCUUUGAGCCUGAUGUAAUUAAUCAUCCCCAACCCCUCAAUGCCCAUUUGGAGAGAUCUGCAACUAUUCAAGAUUUCUUUUCAGAUUGAAGAUUCUCAGAAAUGGAAUACCACUCCCCUCCCUCUCUCCUCAUCCCUAUAUUUACCACAUUUUCCCUAAAUAAAUGUAUACUUUACUCAAA